AUGGUGGCCACGAUCGAGGACCUGCACGCGGACGUGCUGGCCUGCGCGCUGCGCCGCCUGGACGGGCGCUCGCUGGCCGCCGCGAGCUGCGCCACGGCGGGGCUCCGCGCGCUCGCCGCGGACCCGGACACGUGGCGCGCGCUCUGCCUCGCCGAGUGGCCGUCCCUCGCGGCCCAGCACUGGCUCCUCUCAGCGGUGCCGCCGCGCCGCCUCUUCGCCGACGCGUCCCCUUUCCCUUGCCCGGACGCCGGGGAGCCCGGCGCCGGCGGCCUCCCCGCGAGGCUCGUCUCCGCGGUGGACGUGUACUGCAGGGGCGCGCCCGUGCUGUCCCGCGUGGCGGAGACGCCCGCGUCGUCGCCGUGGUUCCUCAGCUCGCCGUUCCGCGUCGACGCCGUGGACUGCAAGAAGCCGGCGCCGGUGGCGGCGGCGUUCUCUCCGGCGGAGCUCGAGCUGAGCUGGGUGGUCGUCGACCCCGCCCGCGGCCGGGCGGUGAACGUGUCGAGCAGGCGGGCGGUGGCCCUGGGCCGGCACUGGUACACCGGCGAGACGCUGGUGUGGUUCGCGGUGGUGCUGGGCGGGUGCAACUUCGAGACCACCGUGGCCUGA
rnacentral:rRNA from 1 species